GGAAUAUUGCACAAUGGGCGCAAGCCUGAUGCAGCGAUGCCGCGUGAGGGAAGAAGGUUUUAGGAUUGUAAACCUCUGUCUUAUGGGACGAUAAUGACGGUACCAUAGGAGGAAGCUCCGGCUAACUACGUGCCAGCAGCCGCGGUAAUACGUAGGGAGCGAGCGUUGUCCGGAAUUACUGGGUGUAAAGGGAGUGUAGGCGGGACUGCAAGUCAGAUGUGAAAACUAUGGGCUUAACCCAUAGAUUGCAUUUGAAACUGUGGUUCUUGAGUGAAGUAGAGGUAAGCGGAAUUCCUAGUGUAGCGGUGAAAUGCGUAGAUAUUAGGAGGAACAUCAGUGGCGAAGGCGGCUUACUGGGCUUUAACUGACGCUGAGGCUCGAAAGCGUGGGGAGCAAACA
rnacentral:rRNA from 1 species